rnacentral:misc_RNA from 1 species
AUGAAUUAAACUGAAGUGAGUUGUUGCUGGCCCUUUGGGGCAUGUGCACGCUUGCUCUCAUUUAACCACCUGUGCACAUAUUGUAGACUUGGGAUGAUCUUCAAGCUUUCAUUAGCUUGGUUUGAGGAAUUGCCUUAUUGGCUUUCCUUGUAUUCCUAGUCUAUGUUUUCAUAUACCCCAAUGUAUGUUAAUAGAAUGUUAUUAAUGGGCCGUUAAAAGCCUUUAAAAUUAAUA